GAGCGGCGAACGGGUGAGUAACACGUGAACAACCUGUCCCUACAUUCCGGAUAAUUGACCGAAAGGUCUUGUAAUACGGGGGAGGGUCUUGAUGGGGCAUCUCAUUAGGAAGGAACGAGCAAUCGGUGCAGGGAGGGGUUCGCGGAUUAUCAGCUUGUUGGUGAGGUAACGGCUCACCAAGGCGACGACGAUUAGCUGGUCUGAGAGGAUGGUCAGCCACAUUGGAACUGAGACACUGUCCAGACUCCUACGGGAGGCUGCAGUCGAGAAUCUUGGGCAAUGCACGAAAGUGUGACCCAGCGACGCCGCGUGGAGGACGAAGGCCCUUGGGUCGUAAACUCCUUUUACGAGAGAAGAAUGAGCCGCAAGGCUUUUGACGGUAUCUCGUGAAUAACUCACGGCUAACUACGUGCCAGCAGCCGCGGUAAUACGUAGGUGGCAAGCGUUGUCCGGAUUUACUGGGCGUAAAGCGUAUGCAGGCGGACCUUUAAGUAGGAAGUGAAAGGUAAGAGCUCAACUCUUACACUGCUCCCUAUGCUGGGGGUCUUGAGUACCGGAGAGGACAAGGGAACAGGUCGUGUAGCGGUGAAAUGCGUUGAGAUGACUUGGAACACCAAUGGCGAAAGCACUUGUCUGGACGGAGACUGACGCUGAGAUACGAAAGCCAAGGGAGCGAACAGGAUUAGAUACCCUGGUAGUCUUGGCCAUAAACGAUGUUCACUAGGUGUCGGGGGGACUCCUUCGGUGCCGCAGCUAACGCAUUAAGUGAACCGCCUGGGGACUACGGCCGCAAGGUUGAUACUCAUAUGAAUUGGCGGGGGGCCGCACAACCGGUGGAUCAUGUGGCUUAAUUCGAUGCAACGCGAAGAACCUUACCAUGGCUUGACAUGGAGCUGCAAGCUCGUGAAAGCGACUCGCUUUCGAAAGGUGCUUCACAGGUGGUGCAUGGCUGUCGUCAGCUCGUGUUGUGAAAUGUUGGGUUAAGUCCCGCAACGAGCGCAACCCUCAUGUUUUGUUGCCAGCGGGUAAUGCCGGGAACUCGAAACAAACUGCCUCUGUAAAGAGGAGGAAGGUGGGGAUGACGUCAAGUCAUCAUGCCCCUUACGCCCUGGGCUGCACACAUGCUACAAUGGCCGGUACAAAGAGUUGCUAACCCGCGAGGGUGUGCUAAUCUCAAAAAGCCGGUCUCAGUUCGGAUAGGAGGCUGCAACUCGCCUCCUUGAAGCCGGAAUCGCUAGUAACCGCCGGUCAGCAAUACGGCGGUGAAUACGUUCCCGGGCCUUGCACACACCGCCCGUCACGCCACGGAAGUCGGAUUUACCCGAAGUCAGCGCGCCAACCGCAAGGAAGGC
rnacentral:rRNA from 1 species